UGGGCAGAAAUGCACCAGGGAAAGGACAUAACAAAACUGGUUUUAUCAGAACAGCCUGCCUGAGAGAGAUCAAGCAGGGCACAGGUCACCAGGUAUGCCCCUGGGCUCCUGCCGCAGCUGAUCGGGUGCUAGGUGCUGAGGAUACACGUCUGGGAGAAAGCAAUUGGAAGAAAUGCAAAGCUCUUCAAAGGAGGCCUAUAAAGUCAUCUUUGUUUUGUUCAUUCUUCUCAUGUUUCUGCAUUCUGGGCAUUCUCCUAAAUUGGGGAGAAACCAAAAUGCCCAGAAGUCAAAUUCUGCAACUGUCAUCAUGCAAAAUGUCAAAUGAGAGAACCAAAGUAUGCUGGAUUCUAUAUUGUUAGGAAGGGAUGGUUAAUUUGAUUGACUCUUGGGAGCUAUUUUUCUAGCAUUAAGUAAUUCUAGGGAACCCUUCUGUGAUCAUCUCUGAGUAAAUAAAGAAGUGAAAUUGCAAUUC
rnacentral:lncRNA from 1 species